UGGGGAAUCUUGGACAAUGGGCGCAAGCCUGAUCCAGCCAUGCCGCGUGAGUGAAGAAGGCCUUCGGGUUGUAAAGCUCUUUUGUCAGGGACGAUAAUGACGGUACCUGAAGAAUAAGCCCCGGCAAACUUCGUGCCAGCAGCCGCGGUAAUACGAAGGGGGCUAGCGUUGUUCGGAAUUACUGGGCGUAAAGCGCACGUAGGCUGAUUGUUAAGUCAGGGGUGAAAUCCCAGAGCUCAACUCUGGAACUGCCCUUGAUACUGGCAAUCUCGAGUCCGGAAGAGGUUAGUGGAAUUCCCAGUGUAGAGGUGAAAUUCGUAGAUAUUAGGAAGAACACCAGUGGCGAAGGCGGCCAACUGGCUCGAUACUGACGCUGAGGUGCGAAAGCGUGGGGAGCAAACAGGAUUAGAUACCCUAGUAGUCCCUGAGCGGGCUGGCAAGGCGCAU
rnacentral:rRNA from 1 species